GCGCCAGACUCCUACGGGAGGCAGCAGUGGGGAAUAUUGGGCAAUGGGCGCAAGCCUGACCCAGCAACGCCGCGUGAAGGAAGAAGGCUUUCGGGUUGUAAACUUCUUUUCUGAGGGACGAUAGUGACGGUACCUCAGGAAUAAGCCACGACUAACUACGUGCCAGCAGCCGCGGUAAUACGUAGGUGGCAAGCGUUAUCCGGAUUUACUGGGUGUAAAGGGCGUGUAGGCGGGAUGGUAAGUCAGAUGUGAAAACUAUGGGCUCAACCCAUAGCCUGCAUUUGAAACUAUCGUUCUUGAGUGUUGGAGAGGCAGGCGGAAUUCCGUGUGUAGCGGUGAAAUGCAUAGAUAUCGCGCAGAACUCCGAUUGCGAAGGCAGCAUGCCGGCUCCACACUGACGCUGAGGCACGAAAGCGUGGGUAUCGAACAGGAUUAGAUACCCGUGUAC
rnacentral:rRNA from 1 species